AGGAAGGAGCCCCCGACCCCCGUCACUCGUUUCAUUCUCGCUCGCUGUCGCCCGCCCCUUCCCGCGCCGCCACCGCCGCCGCCGCCGCCGCCGCCGCCAUCCCACUAGCCCACCACCUCCUCCGCGCGCUGCUACCGCCAGCCCUCCCACCGCUUACUCUUUCUGUCCACCUCCCGCUGCGUCACGGGUACACCUCGAACCGCUCAGCCGCCGUUCCUAUCUCCCCGGUCCCCCUUUAUAUAUUAUCUCCCGUUGCUUGCUGUCAAGAAUCGAAUCCAAUAGACUUCAAGUUCGAUCAAAUCAUCCUUUUUUUUUCUUCACAAAAGUGAUCCUUGGAUUUCUUCAAACAUGGCAUCUCCGGGUGAAAUGUCAGUAAGCAAUCCAUUACGCUUCCAAGGCUUUCCUUGUAAUCUGGGAAAAAGAAAUGGUUUCAUUGCUGCAAGGAGUUCUGGACUGAGAAGAUCUCAGCAGUGCUUCCAUAGACACCUUUGUUGGCCAGGUGUUCGAAGAGCUUCAGUUCCUAAUGUCCGAUUGCUGCCAACUCCUGGUGCUUUGGUUUCCAGGGGACUUGACAGUUCAUUGGUUCACAAAUCUGAUAAUGCAUCAGAAGCUGGAGUUAUUCAAUUAUAUCGUAUACCAUAUCUUCAAGACAGUGAGACAAUUGAGCUGCUCAGGCAAGUGCAAGCAAAGGUUUCUUCUAAUAUUGUGGGUAUAAAGACCGAACAAUGCUUCAACAUUCAAUUGGAUAAUGCAUUAGCUUCAGAGAAGCUUGCAACACUGCAGUGGCUCUUAGCAGAAACCUAUGAACCUGAUAAGUUACAAGCACAAAGCUUUCUGGAGGAGGAAGUCGCUAGGAACCCUUAUAGUGUCAUUGUUGAGGUUGGUCCCCGGAUGACUUUUUCAACAGCGUUCUCAACCAAUGCCGUCUCAAUAUGUAAAUCUCUCUCAUUGAUGGAAGUAACUCGCUUGGAGAGAUCAAGGAGAUACCUUUUAUGCUUGGAUCCUGGCUAUGGUCCACUUGAUGAAAGCCAGCUUAACGACUUUACUGCUUUGGUUCAUGAUAGAAUGACAGAGUGUGUUUAUCCUAAGAAGCUCACAUCAUUUCAUUCAGAUGUAGUUCCUGAACCUGUCCGUAUUGUUCCAGUCAUUGAAAGGGGAAGAGAAGCUCUGGAAGAAAUAAAUGUGAAGAUGGGACUUGCUUUUGAUGAACAAGAUAUCAAGUACUAUACCCACCUCUUCAGAGAUGACAUCAAACGGAACCCAACCACUGUUGAACUUUUCGACAUUGCACAAUCCAACAGUGAGCACAGCAGGCAUUGGUUUUUUAAUGGAAAGCUUGUGAUAGAUGGAGAGACCAUGCCGAGAACCUUGUUUCAGUUAGUGAAGAGUCCCCUGAAAGCUAACCCCGAUAAUAACUCAGUCAUCGGAUUUAAUGACAACUCAAGUGCAAUAAAGGGAUAUCCAGCAAAUCAGCUACGCCCAACAGUUCCAGGCUCCACUUCACCAUUAUCUGUUAUGAUGCGUGAGCUUGAUAUUUUAUUCACAGCAGAAACCCAUAAUUUUCCAUGUGCUGUGGCACCUUAUCCAGGAGCUGAAACAGGUGCAGGUGGUCGCAUAAGGGACACACAUGCCACUGGAAAGGGUUCUUUUGUUGUUGCUUCUACUGCUGGCUAUUGUGUUGGUAAUCUCCGAAUUGAAGGUGCAUAUGCACCCUGGGAGGAUCCAUCCUUUUCAUAUCUGUCGAAUUUGGCCUCCCCUUUGCAAAUUCUUAUUGAUGCUAGCGAUGGCGCUUCUGACUAUGGGAACAAGUUUGGUGAACCUCUAAUUCAGGGAUUUACUAGAAAUUUUGGGACGAGGUUGCUUAAUGGGGAACGGCGCGAGUGGCUGAAGCCAAUAAUGUUUAGUGGGGCAAUCGGGCAAAUUGACCAUGCACAUAUAUCUAAGGGGGAUCCAGAAAUUGGCAUGCUAGUUGUGAAGAUUGGUGGCCCAGCAUACAGAAUUGGUAUGGGUGGUGGUGCUGCCUCCAGCAUGGUUAGUGGACAAAAUGAUGCAGAGCUCGAUUUCAAUGCAGUACAGCGUGGAGAUGCUGAAAUGGCACAGAAAUUAUAUCGUGUGGUCAGGGCAUGUGCGGAAAUGGGAGAGAGCAACCCUAUCAUCAGCAUUCAUGACCAGGGUGCUGGAGGAAACUGCAAUGUGGUGAAGGAAAUAAUCUAUCCUAAGGGCGCUGAAAUUGAUAUACGAUCAAUUGUUGUCGGUGAUCAUACAUUGUCUGUCUUGGAGAUAUGGGGUGCUGAGUACCAGGAACAAGAUGCACUUCUGGUGAAGCCUGAGAGCAGAAGCCUUUUAGAGUCACUUUGUGAAAGGGAAAGGGUUUCAAUGGCUGUCAUUGGGACAAUCAAUGGAUGUGGAAAGAUUGUUUUGAUUGACAGUGCUGCUGUGGAGCAUGCGAAGUUAAAUGGCCUUCCUCCUCCAACCCCUGUUGAGGAUCUCGAGCUUGAAAAGGUUCUAGGAGAUAUGCCCCAAAAGACCUUUGAAUUCAAGCGAGUCUCUGUAGUCAGUGAGCCCUUAGAUAUUGCCCGUGGAGUAACAAUCAUGGAUGCUCUGAAGCGAGUAUUGAGUCUUCCAUCUGUAUGCUCUAAGCGUUUCUUAACCACAAAAGUUGACAGGUGUGUGACAGGUCUUGUUGCACAACAGCAGACAGUUGGACCUCUCCAACUUCCUCUUGCAGAUGUGGCUGUGAUCGCACAGACAUACACUGAUCUAACAGGUGGUGCCUGUGCCAUUGGAGAACAGCCAACGAAAGGUUUACUUAAUCCCAAGGCCAUGGCAAGACUUGCUAUUGGGGAAGCCUUGACUAAUCUGGUUUGGGCUAAAGUUUCAUCACUUUCUGAUGUCAAAGCAAGUGGUAACUGGAUGUAUGCUGCAAAGCUUGAUGGAGAAGGUGCAGAUAUGUAUGAUGCUGCUGUUGCAUUGGCUGACUGCAUGAUUCAACUUGGUAUUGCAAUUGAUGGGGGAAAGGACAGUCUUUCCAUGGCAGCUCAAUGUGAUGGUGAGGUCGUCAAGGCUCCUGGAAAUCUGGUCAUCAGUGCUUAUGUGACAUGUCCUGAUAUAACAUUGACGGUAACUCCUGAUUUGAAGCUUGGCAAGGAUGGAGUUUUGCUGCACAUUGACCUCAGCAAAGGAAAGCGCCGGCUUGGUGGUUCUGCUCUUGCACAGGCUUUUGAUCAAAUUGGAAAUGACUGCCCAGACAUUGAUGAUGUCCUGUACUUGAAGAAAGCCUUUGAGGCCGUUCAGGAAUUGCUUGGUGAGCGUCUUAUUUCAGCUGGCCAUGACAUUAGUGAUGGAGGUCUUAUUGUGAGUGUUCUUGAGAUGGCAUUUGCUGGUAAUUGCGGUGUUAAGCUGAACAUUGACUCAGAAGAUUCUAGCCUUCUUCAAGCACUAUUUGCCGAGGAGCUUGGCCUUCUACUUGAAGUGCAUUUGAAAGAUCUGAGUGUUGUGAAACAAAAGCUUCAAGCAGGAGGCAUUUCCGCUAAUGUAAUUGGAAAAGUUACAGCAUCACCAGAUAUUGAGCUGGUUGUUGAUGGCAGGCUGCAUCUUAAGGAAAAAACUUCAGAUCUCAGGGAUAUCUGGGAGGAAACAAGCUUCCAGCUUGAGGGGCUACAACGUCUGAAAUCUUGUGUCAGACUUGAGAAAGAAGGAUUAAAGCACAGAACAUCACCAUCAUGGUCUUUGUCUUUCACUCCCAAAUUUACAGAUGAAAAACUGCUGACUGCAUCCUCAAAGCCAAAAGUUGCCAUCCUUCGUGAAGAAGGGAGCAAUGGUGAUAGGGAGAUGGCUGCUGCAUUCUAUGCUGCUGGAUUCGAACCAUGGGAUAUCACAAUGUCAGACCUCUUAGCUGGGAAGUCUUCUCUAGAGGAUUACCGUGGGAUUGCGUUUGUCGGUGGUUUUAGCUAUGCAGAUGUUCUUGAUUCAGCUAAAGGUUGGGCUGCAUCAAUCAGGUUUAACCAACCCCUCAUACAGCAGUUCCAGAAUUUCUACAAUAGGCCGGACACUUUCAGCCUUGGGGUGUGCAAUGGUUGUCAGCUAAUGGCUCUUCUUGGCUGGGUACCAGGAUCAGACGUUGGAGGUUCUCUUGGUUCAGGUGGGGACAUGUCCCAGCCAAGAUUUAUUCACAAUGAAUCUGGUCGUUUUGAGUGCCGGUUUACUAGUGUCUCUAUAGGGGCCUCUCCUGCUAUCAUGUUCAAAGGAAUGGAAGGUUCUACAAUGGGCAUUUGGAGUGCUCACGGUGAGGGGAGAGCUUUCUUCCCAGAUGAAAAUGUUCUAGCUAGUGUUGUAAAGUCUAACCUGGCUCCUGUGCGGUACUGUGACGAUGCUAAUAACAUAACUGAAGUCUACCCAUUCAAUCCCAAUGGCUCUCCACUUGGCAUUGCAGCCCUUUGCUCCCCUGAUGGAAGACAUCUUGCUAUGAUGCCACACCCAGAGCGUUGCUUCAUGAUGUGGCAAUAUCCAUGGUCUCCCAAGGAUUGGCAGCUUGAGAAGAGUGGUCCCAGCCCCUGGCUGCGCAUGUUCCAGAAUGCUAGAGAAUGGUGUUCAUAAUGCAGUUGUGUAACAUACCGGGACCUAAUUGAUGGUCAUAUGAUGACAGAAGCUUGGAGCUAUGGACUCUUUUGGAUACUUAAACCUUGCUGGUUCGAUGCACUCAGCAGUCAGCAUUGUUGUUACCGAGGAUCGAAUAAGUGGGUUCAUCGAAAUAAUUAAAAGCAGAUUCUGUGAUUCUUGCUUGCAGCUUUGAGUUUUGCUGCUGGUUUGAAACUAGGAAUCCUGUAAGGGUAGUAGUGUUUUAUUAGGCAGAGGCGAGGAGGCCUCAGGCCUGCAAUAUGCUGGUUCUGCUAUUGGAUGCGCAGCAAUUUGCAGUCCUGCUGUUGAUGAACCGUAUUGUCGAAGGUAAUAUGGGAUUAUGGAUUGUUGAUUUUACAGGUGUAGAUUUACAUUUGAUUGUACGCUUGUUUACCGGUUACUGUCAGUGGCUUUUGGGGGUUUUGUGUUGUUGUUUGACCACCCAACCCAACACCAAGAGGUUUCAUUUCACCGUGCGAUCGAUACAUAUGGGGAUAGACACAAGAGAAUUGGAGAAGUCAAAAAGUUUUUUAAGCAUUUGGGAUGAAUUAGUAAUAGAACUUGUGUGCUGAGUUGUUUCAGGGACUAAAUAUCUUGUGUGCUGGAUUGUCGUGCA